rnacentral:rRNA from 1 species
GAAUUUUAUAUUGUUUUAUUAAGUUAAUUUGUUAUUAAAUGAAAUUAGUAGAAUAUAUAUUUAGUUGGGAGGAUUGUUAAAUAUAAUUAACUUUAAUUAGAUUUAUAAAAUAUAAAUUAAUAAAAUAAAGAAUGGUUAAUAAAUUAAAAAAGAAUUAAUUACCUUAGGGAUAACAGCGUAAUACUUUUGGAGAGUUCAUAUUAAUAUGAGUGAUUGC